UUAAAUAACGGUGAUGAAGCUCACCUUAUUGCCGUGAAGGCUAAUGGCUUCUACGCGCUU
rfam:Thermoanaerobacter pseudethanolicus ATCC 33223, complete genome.